ensembl:ncRNA lncRNA:CR44278 long non-coding RNA:CR44278
AACUAUUUAUGCGUCAUUCUGUUAAAUUUCCCCUGUCGUUCUAAGUCACUAUAAAAACUUGAAAGACGAGUAGUAAAACAAUUCAAGCAGCUAAUAACCUUUAGAUAUACUCAUACUCGCACAUCCUGAGCAACCAAUCUGAUGAUCAAUAAAUCGCAUCAACUUUCGCCCGGACUCGCUUUCCCCGCAAAUUGCCAGCAGUAAAGGAAAUGGGGAAGUCCUGAGAUAUAUCUACUCAUAUCAUCGCAUAUUGGAGCCCAUAACUUAUGCACCGUGCAGAAGGAACUUUCGUCGGCAGACAAUGAAAUUUAUGAAACGGAAUGCAGAGCACUUGCAACUGUUGCAGGCGAGGAAUAAUAAUAAGAAGAAUAUGCUACAAAUUUGCUUUAUUUCACAUGCGAAAAAGUUGUAAAGUUUUGCUCACACCAUACCACAC